UGGCAGGCGUCCACUCCUCCCUGGGGUAGUCCAGCGCAGAUCAUGGAGUCAUCGAUGUCGUUUUCUCCGUAAGCGGCGCGACAGUCAGCGUCACUGACAGCGGGGACAUCGACAUACUGAAGGACAGAGGGAGUGCUGCCUCCCUCCGAGGUUGUACCCCAGCCGGACACAACGCAGUCUCCCAUGUACUCCUUUACACUCUGCAGACCGACAGGUCCAACAAAGCUGUUGAAGGUCAGAGGGGAGGACAGUUGGAGAAGGGAAAUGUCGUUACUGAUGGUGAACCCGUUGUAAUCUUCGUGCUGGAUGAUCUUGGACAGAACAAUCGCCUGCUCGUUACCCUCAUCAACGUACAAUUCUUGCU